UACAGAGGUCUCAAGCGUUGUUCGGAUUCAUUGGGCGUAAAGGGUGCGUAGGUGGCGCCGUAAGUCAGGUGUGAAAUUUCGGAGCUUAACUCCGAAACUGCAUUUGAUACUGCGGUGCUUGAGGACUGGAGAGGAGACUGGAAUUUACGGUGUAGCAGUGAAAUGCGUAGAGAUCGUAAGGAACACCGGUGGCGAAGGCGGGUCUCUGGGCAACAACUGACGCUGAGGAGCGAAAGCGUGGGGAGCGAACAGG
rnacentral:rRNA from 1 species